rnacentral:rRNA from 1 species
AGAAUCAACGCUGGCGGCGUGCCUAACACAUGCAAGUCGAACGCGAAAGGGGAGCAAUCCCUGAUUAGAGUGGCAAACGGGUGAGUAACACGUGGGCGACCUGCCUUCGAGUGGGGGAUAACCUUCCGAAAGGAGGGCUAAUACCGCAUGAUAUGCCGUGUUUGGAUACAUGGACAUCAAAGCCGGGGAUCGUAAGACCUGGCGCUUGAAGAGGGGCCCGCGUCCGAUUAGCUAGUUGGUGAGGUAACGCUCACCAAGGCUCCGAUCGGUA